ensembl:lncRNA
UAAAAUCUUAUAAAUAAACAUAAAAAAAAGAAUAGUACAUGAAUGUGACAUUAUAUUAAUACAGAAAAAUACAAAAAAUAAAAAACAACAUAAAACGGUGGGUCACAGACCCAGCCCCUGACAGAAUGUGCAAGUGAGUGUGCAAUUGAUCCAAUCUGAGAUGAUCCGUGAGUUCAACAGGGAGGCAGGCAGGUGAGAAUGUAAGUCGAGACCUUACCAGAGCUAUGGCUGAGAUUGGGCAGGUAGGUCAAGCGACCGGGUUGAAAGGAACUGUGCACUCGUGGAGAGAAUGUCAGUGGAUAAAAUUAGAGACAAGAGAAAGCAAGCUCCAGGUGCAGCUCACGAGAGAGAACAAGGACAGCUCUGCACAGAGGAGGAGACAUGACACACAGUGGAAAAACCCUGCCACUCCCACGGACCAUAACAGGUUCAAGAGCCAGCCACAAUGGGUAACAAACAAAUCUUUAAAGCUUUAUUGACAUUUAUAGUGGUAAUAAAGCUUGUGAGCACAGCAGUUACUGCCACAACAACUGGAGUUCCAACAACAUCUGGAAAUUCGACUACUAGCACUACAACACCAAUGAUGACUGCAUCUACAAACACAAACACAGCAAAUGUUACAAACACCACACCUACAACAAACACAUCUGCGGUGCCUACAACAGUUUCAACUACACCUGUAAACACUGCAACACCAAUGAUGACUGCACCUACAAACACAACGACUCCUACAACCACCACACCUGUAAUCAUGGUUUCAAACACAACUGUGAGCGCUACAACACCAAUGAUGACUACAGUUACAAACACAAUCACAGCAAAUGUUACAAACACCACACCUACAACAAACACAUCUGCGGUGCCUACAACAGUUUCAACUACACCUGUAAACACUGCAACACCAAUGAUGACUGCACCUACAAACACAACGACUCCUACAACAACCACACCUUUAAUCAUGGCUUCAAACACAGCUGUGAGUGCUACAACACCAAUGAUGACUACAGUUACAAACACAAUCACAGCAAAUGUUACAAACACCACACCAGGAACAAACACAUCUGCGGUGCCUACAACAGCUUCAACUACACCUGUAAACACUGCAACACCAAUGAUGACUGCACCUACAAACACAAACACAACGACUCCUACAACCACCACACCUGUAACAACUACAACAGCUGAACCAGUAACAGGACUAUUGUUGACAUUCACCUCAAAUGAAAACUUCACACCAGCCUUGGCGGAUUCUAACUCUCCACAAUUUGCAAGUCGAAGCACGCUUGUAGAGACAGCUCUUACACCUUUUUACAAGGCAACAUUUAAAUCAUUCCGGUCACUGAGAGUGACUUCAUUCAGGAGUGGAUCAAUUAUCAGUGACAUAAGGAUUGAGUUUGGAUCUUCAGCUGUGCCGAAUACAACUGAUAUUGCAAAUGUUUUGAUCAAUUCAGCCUCAAAUAUAACAGCCUUCAACAUUACCACAAACUCUGUGGUUGUCCGUGAAAUAGUAGCUUCAACUACAACUGUGAGCGCUACAACACCAAUGAUGACUGCAGUUACAAAUGCAAUCACAGCAAAUGUUACAAACACCACACCUAUUACAAAUACAUCUGCGGUGCCUACAACAGCUUCAACUACACCUGUAAACACUGCAACGACAAUGAAUACUACAAACACAACCACAACCACAACGACUCCUACAACCACUACACCUGUAACAAUUACAACAGCUGAGCCAGUAACAGAAGUAAAGCUUACAUUCACCUCAAAUGAAACAUUCACACAAGACUUGGCGAAUUCUACAUCUACAGCAUUUAGAAAUCGAAGGACGCUCAUAGAAACAACACUUACACCGUUUUAUAUACAACGAUUGAACUCAUUCCGGUCACUGACAGUGACUUUAUUCAGAAGUGGAUCAAUUAUCAAUGAAAUGAACAUUGGAUUUCCAUCUUCAGGGGUCCCUAAUAUAACUGACAUUGGAAUUGUUUUAAUCAAUGCUGCCUCAAACAUAACAGCCUUCAACAUUGACCCUACCAGUGUUGUUGUCAAUGGCACAAAGGUAAAUAGUGGAGUGAUCCACAAGAGCAGUCUACUCACUGCAUCCUGUAUGGUGCUGCUGUCAUGGCUCAUGUCAGGCCACCAAUAACAUGUCCUGAUGCUCUUGUGGAAUUCCUUUUGGAAAUGUCUGCUGUGAUUGGCUAUGAAAAAGGGACGUUGUUCACAUUGAAAAUCCAAGAGGACCUUCUGGUAAAGUGCAAAGAAUGGCUUCGCAAGAAUUAGAUACUAAAUUGGGUAACACACACAAUAAUAAUGAAGCAUAUUUUUAAAAAUGCAUCUACUUCAUCAUGAUUGCAUAUUUAAGUAGGAGAUGGAAUCCCAUCUAUGAUGGGAAUAACUUUAUCCACUGAAAGGGUAAUGUGUGUAACGUGUGUCAUUAAUGAGUAAUACCCUAUGAAAUCGGGCGAAGAAUUUGUGAUAUGUAAUCGUCACACUCCUUGUCACCGCACUGCUCCUCCAUCAAAUGGACAGUUUGACUGACUGUGGCAUUCCUGAAACAUAAGCUAUGUGAAUAACGCCCUGUAUGAUUACCCAAUCAUGUUUCAUAUGUUUAAAUCGUGUGAUAGUGUGUGCAACUUUGCAUUUAUUUUGUAUAAUUAUAAUACAGCAUAGUAAUAAUAAAAAAUACAAGUAGGUUACGCAAAUUAGGAAUAAAAAACCCCCAAAAUGUAUAGACUACAUCAAUGUAAUAAUUCCUUUUUCCUUCUAAAGAAAAAAUCUGUCAUGAUAUACUGAAACUGCUUGCAUUAAACAAAUUGAAGAUUUAUACAGAGAAUUGAGCUCUGUUUCUCUUUAUUUAAACUCUACUCAGUACUGUCAGUGUUGUUCAGGAUGAUAAAGAUAAAACAUACACCCAAAAGUAUUCAGACAUGUAAUGCUGCUUUGUAGAUUACUAUUGAUUAUUGACUUCAGGGCCUUCUAUUAGUUGCCUUAAAUCGCUUAGUUAAGGGCAACUGUAGAGCAAAAACAAGCACAAACACAAGGCUAUCUUUUUUUGGAUGGGGCAAGAAGACCACUCAUGAUAUCAAGUGAACUGCAGAGGUAUGUUGUAAAAAAGCAAAAAAGGGAAGAUUAGUAACUGAGAACAGAGAACUUCGCUCUACAGCGAGGGGGUCAGAAACAGUCAUUUUCAUUUUAUGAUGAUAUGUAUAUAUAUUUUUUCCCAUUUUUUAAGAGAGAAAUGGGACAUCUAAAUCAUGAUCAAACUAAAGAAAAGUCAAGAAAUGGCAUGAAAGACCACUGAAGAGAUCAAUAUGAUUUAAAAAUUAAACAUGCAGAUAAACUUAAAGUGUACUUUUUAAUGGUGGGAGACAAGUAGUACCAGCAGUAUGAAGUCCUUGAGGCAAAAACAACAAGGAACCCAAAUGGCAUGGGAACACACAAAGGUAACAAACAGACACCUUCAUAAACACAUAGCACAAAGACAAGGCCCUGACUAAACUGUG